rnacentral:piRNA from 1 species
UUUUUGGAGCUGUCGAAUUCC